rfam:Tortispora caseinolytica NRRL Y-17796 unplaced genomic scaffold CANCAscaffold_2, whole genome shotgun sequence.
GAUGCGGUGGCUCAAUGGUAGAGCUUUCGACUCCAGUGCUGUGGCAUCGAAGGGUUGCAGGUUCAAUUCCUGUCCGUGUCA